UUGCCUUAAAUUUUUUUCAUUUCUCUGUAAUUUGGCUUUUAAUUUGUUUAAUUAGUUUUACCUCUUGUGAGUUCGGAACUUUGAUUCGUUGGUUUUGGGCAUCCAAUUAACUCUUAUGUGGACCUUCAUUUAAAAGGGAAAAAGCAAAAAAUUCUGUUUCCCUUGCUCAUUAUUUUAUUUUUGCCGCAUAAAUCUCUGAGACUUUUCAUUGAUUUCCUUCUUUGUUGUUUUCUUGCAAAUAUUCAUGUUGUAACCUUAUAGUGAAGGUUGGGAUUAGAGAAAAUUUAUGUUUGACCUGUUGGGAUCUCAGGAGGAUAAUCUAAUAUCUUCAAGUAACUGCUGCCGAGGGAGAUUAUAACUUUGAUCCUGUCCUGAACUUUGCACCAGACGAAAGAGAUUAUAUCUUUGAUCCUGUCCUGUACUUUGAACUAUAGGUAUUCUAUUAAUUUUAUUUGAAUGGUUGUGAUGGCAGGAUAUUGCAAACGCAGAACUGGCUCCAACUCAUCCAAUCCGGCUCGGACUGGCUCUCAACUUCUCUGUGUUUUACUACGAGAUUCUGAAUUCUCCCGAUCGAGCUUGUAACCUUGCGAAACAGGUGAGUGGAUCUGAAUAUGUCAGCCUUCUUUAUUUUGCUUGUUGUGGUGGUAUGUAUGCCUUUGAAGAAGAAAUAUUGUAAGGAGUAGAAUUUGAUUAGGUUUUGAUUAUGGGCCAUUCUUUAAUUCAGUUGAAAAUUUCUUCUUUCCUUUUUUUUCCUUGUUCUAAUCUUUUUGUAUGAUUGUUGAGAAUGGAAAUAUCCGAGGGAAAAAAACCAUAGAAUUUAGAUCUUCUGCUUUGCAUUGUCUCAGUUUCUGAAAAUUUGAAAAACUACCACAACUAAGCCCCAAACAUUUUGUAUUAAGCACGAGUAAAUUUUUUUUUCCUACAUUUUCUCAGCAAGCGUACCAUCUAUUGUUGAAACAAGCUGGCUGUUUAAGCUUUCAAUCUACAUAGGCUGUUUGGUAUUAGAUAUGGCUCUCAUAUGAUUUGGAUCUUUGCCCAUGUUCUUUUUGCCUGUUCUCAUCAGGCAUUUGAUGAAGCCAUUGCUGAAUUGGAUACCUUGGGUGAGGAGUCAUACAAGGAUAGCACUUUGAUAAUGCAACUUCUUCGUGACAAUCUCACUCUGUGGACCU
rnacentral:lncRNA from 1 species